CUGUGCAAACACCACCAACACACACUAGUUCUGUCUUUGUUUAGAUUCAGUGCCAGAAGAGACGUCACCAGUGCACACUGUACUUCUCUAAACCUCUUAACCUCAGACACUUCAACAUCAGACAUCAGAGCUGCACCGGAGAUUCACUAGAUUCAGAUCAUCACAAGUUUGUCAUGAUGCAGACAGACCUGCAGAGCUUCAUUCUGAUGAUACAAAGACAGACGCUCACAGAUGAGAUGAUAUAAAGCAUCACAUGUUUAUUUUGGAGAAAGCAGCAGGAAGCUCUUAAAGGUUUAGUUUGCAGCAGCUUUAUAAGAGUUUCUGGAGAAACAGAGCAUGGUGUGCAUCACAGACUGACUGAGAGACAGGACUUUUAUUCU